rnacentral:rRNA from 1 species
GACGAACGCUGGCGGCGUGCUUAACACAUGCAAGUCGAACGGUGAAGCCCUUCGGGGUGGAUCAGUGGCGAACGGGUGAGUAACACGUGAGCAACCUGUCCCUGGCUCUGGGACAACCACUGGAAACGGUGGCUAAUACCGGAUACGACCCGCCUCGGCAUCGAGUGUGGGUGGAAAGUUUUUCGGCUGGGGAUGGGCUCGCGGCCUAUCAGCUUGUUGGUGAGGUGAAGGCUCACCAAGGCGACGACGGGUAGCCGGCCUGAGAGGGCGACCGGCCACACUGGGACUGAGACACGGCCCAGACUCCUACGGGAGGCAGCAGUGGGGAAUAUUGCACAAUGGGCGAAAGCCUGAUGCAGCGACGCCGCGUGAGGGAUGACGGCCUUCGGGUUGUAAACCUCUUUCAGCUCCGAAGAAGCGAAAGUGACGGUAGGAGCAGAAGAAGCACCGGCUAACUACGUG